GACGAACGCUGGCGGCGUGCCUAACACAUGCAAGUCGAGCGGGAUCCAUCUGGUGGCAGCACCGGGGAAGAUCUAGCGGCGAACGGGUGAGUAACACGUGAGAAACCUGCCCCGAACUUCGGGAUAACACGGGGAAACCCGUGCUAAUACCGAAUACCCUCUACCGGUCGCAUGGCCGGAAGCGGAAAGAUUCAUCGGUUCGGGAGGGUCUCGCGGCCUAUCAGCUAGUUGGCGGGGUAACGGCCCACCAAGGCAUCGACGGGUAGCUGGUCUGAGAGGACGAUCAGCCACACUGGGACUGAGACACGGCCCAGACUCCUACGGGAGGCAGCAGUGGGGAAUCUUGCGCAAUGGGCGAAAGCCUGACGCAGCAACGCCGCGUGCGGGAUGAAGGCCUUCGGGUUGUAAACCGCUUUCAGCAGGGAAGAAAAUGUCGGUACCUGCAGAAGAAGCCCCGGCCAACUACGUGCCAGCCGCCGCGGUAA
rnacentral:rRNA from 1 species